rnacentral:rRNA from 1 species
AAUGAACGCUGGCGGCGUGCUUCAGACAUGCAAGUCGAACGUGAAAGUCCUUCGGGAUGAGUAAAGUGGCGCACGGGUGAGUAAUACUUGGGUAAUGUACCCUAUCGCUGGGGAUAACUAGGCGAAAGCUUAGCUAAUACCGAAUAGCUCCACUAGGUCUCCGGACUCUGUGGAUAAAGCCGUAAGGCGCGAUAGGAGCAGCCCUCGUCCCAUUAGCUAGUUGGUGAGGUAACGGCUCACCAAGGCUACGAUGGGUAGCUGGUCUAAGAGGAUGAUCAGCCACACUGGUACUGGAACACGGACCAGACUCCUACGGGAGGCAGCAGUUAGGAAUUUUGCGCAAUGGGCGAAAGCCUGACGCAGCAACGCCGCGUGGGGGAUGAAGGCCUUCGGGUUGUAAACCCCUUUUAGUAGGGAAGAAAAAAAUGACGGUACCUACAGAAAAAGCACCGGCUAACUCUGUGCCAGCAGCCGCGGUAAUACAGAGGGUGCAAGCGUUAUUCGGAAUUACUGGGCGUAAAGAGCGCGUAGGCUGUUUGAUAAGUUUGAUGUGAAAGCCCUGGACUCAAUUCAGGAAGUGCAUCGAAUACUGUCAGACUAGAGUAUAGGAGAGGACAACGGAAUUCCUGGUGUAGAGGUGAAAUUCGUAGAUAUCAGGAGGAACAACAGUAGCGAAGGCGGUUGUCUGGACUAUAACUGACGCUGAGGCGCGAAAGUGUGGGGAGCAAACAGGAUUAGAUACCCUGGUAGUCCACACCGUAAACGAUGGAUACUAGAUGUCGGGGGUUCUUGUCCCCUCGGUAUCGUAGCUAACGUGUUAAGUAUCCCGCCUGGGAAGUACGGUCGCAAGAUUAAAACUCAAAGAAAUUGACGGGGGCCCGCACAAGCGGUGGAGUAUGUGGUUUAAUUCGAAGCAACGCGCAAAACCUUACCUAGGCUUGACAUCCCACGCUAUCCUGUGAAAGCAGGAGUUCCCUUACGGGACGUGGAGACAGGUGUUGCAUGGCUGUCGUCAGCUCGUGUCGUGAGAUGUUGGGUUAAGUCCCGCAACGAGCGCAACCCUCGUUAUUAGUUGCCAGCAUUAAGUUGGGCACUCUAAUAAGACCGCUUGCCGAUAAGGCAGAGGAAGGUGGGGAUGACGUCAAGUCAGCAUGGCCCUUACGCCUAGGGCUACACACGUACUACAAUGGAUGGCACAAUACGUCGCAAAGCCGCAAGGCAGAGCUAAUCGGAAAAAACCAUCCUCAAUUCAGAUUGGAGUCUGCAACUCGACUCUAUGAAGCUGGAAUCGCUAGUAAUCGUGGAUCAGCAUGCCACGGUGAAUACGUUCCCGGGCCUUGUACACACCGCCCGUCACGCCAUGGGAGUUGGUGUCGCCUGAAAAGAUCCAGUUAACCGCAAGGAAACAGAUCUUAAUGGUGAUACCGAUGACUGGGGUG